CCCAUAAAAGCGGCCACUUUUUUUACAUGGUUGGAAUUUCUGAUGUGUAUGGUAAGUUUGGAGGAGGUAUUGAGCAAGUUACAUUUUCUUUCUUUGGCAGUGUAUGGUAAGUUUGGAGGAGGUAUAGUGCAGAGCAGAGCAGGGGAGCUGGCCGCAAACAGAGAACGUUGUGCUCCUAAACAACUAGUACUAUCUUCAGCAAAGCUAGCCAACCAGGGACCUAGAAUCUCCAUCACUCCAUCACCUCGAGUCUCAAGCAAUGGGCAGUGAACUGCUCGCAGCAAUGGUUGCACCACUAGCGGAGCAUCCCUUGAUCCCGUCCACGACCACUACCACCACUACCGCCGGCAACGGAGCCAUCACAACAAUCACCACCACCACAUGCUCCUCCGCCGCCCAUGGCACCACUACCACUACCACCACAACCACAACAACAACCACCACAAGCACCUCCAACGCCACAACCAUUUCACCCCUCUGUGAUGAGGAAUUUGAAAUUUGAUGGCUGUGCCCAUCUGUAUAAUAUGCCUUGACCUCCUUCUUUGGUUGGUGAUGAUGGGAGCACAGGGCAUGAAGUUGAAGCUUCUCACUGAAGCCUGCAGUUGUUUGUCAUAUGAGGAAAUUGAAUGGAAAUUUGUGGGUACGAGCUAACAGUUAUCGGUUACUGUUUUGUUGAUGCAAAAUAUUAUCUAGAAACCUUGUAUCUUAAGUAAUUGUUAUUGCCAUAGAAACCUUUAGAUGCUUCUCUUGCAACUAUUGGUACGGUUCUGGAGCUAAUGGAUUUCAUGGACGAUUGGGUUUUCAUCUGCUGCAAACUUUC